rnacentral:rRNA from 1 species
CCUACGGGAGGCUGCAGUAGGGAAUCUUCCACAAUGGACUAUAGUCUUAUGGAGCAACGCCGCGUGUGUGAUGAAGGGUUUCGGCUUUGAUUUCUCUGUUUUUAGAGAAGAAUGACAUUGAGAAUAACUGUUCAGUGUGUGACGGUAUCUUACCAGAAAGGAACGGCUAAAUACGUGCCAGCAGCCGCGGUAAUACGUAUGUUCCAAGCGUUAUCCGGAUUUAUUGGGCGUAAAGCGAGCGCAGACGGUUAUUUAAGUCCGAAGUGAAAGCCCACAGCUUAACUGUGGAAGUGCUUUGGAAACUGGAUAACUUGAGUGCAGUAGAGGAGAGUGGAACUCCAUGUGAACAAAUGAAAGGACUCAAUCGAGGGAAGAAAAAAAGAAGAGGAGGCGGCACCCUGGACUGUAACUGACGUUGAGGCUCGAAAGUGUGGGUAGCAAACAGGAUUAGAUACCCCAGUAGUC